rnacentral:rRNA from 1 species
CCCAUGGACCGUGGGAGGACUCUACGUUCUCCACACCAUCUCUACCAGGUCACCUCCACUACCUGGCCCCGUUCCUCGUGCAGCCAUAGCGGUUCUUCUUCGGAUGCCAGCGGAGCAGGUUAGUCUAUCCCUACGCCGGCGUGCCGGCUCCGGUGUAUGGGCAGAAGGGGAGGAGGUGGUCCCACCGCGGGAUACAGUCUAACGGAAGCAGCGGCGCCAAGUCUUACAGCGACCUCAGCGCCAGGACCGCACUCCGCGGCGUCGACGCUCUCCACGAGCUCCACUAUUGUAUUGUCUCCUAGCCUCACCUCCCUGAUUGAAUCUGGAUCCAGAGAUUUCACCGGCGCUGUUGAGUAGUCAUGUUCCAGUUAUCAUCGGCCUCCUCUUCAAGUUGGUCACGAUCGACCUCCUACUUAAUUGUAAGUUGUGGCUGGCUCCUUCAAACGUGGCUGCCUCCACCCCCCUAGUGACAUUCGUACCUACUUUUGAUAAACUCAAGCUUGUUUGUGUAUUCAGAGUGCAUCAAAUUUUUUUGGUCGUGAGUUGUUAUAUAAGCAGUGGUGCUAAUUUGUGUACUCUUCAAGAAUCACUUGUCCCUGUUGUAAUGAGAGCAGAACGAGG